rnacentral:rRNA from 1 species
AUUGAACGCUGGCGGAAUGCUUUACACAUGCAAGUCGAGCGGCAGCGCGGGGGCAACCCUGGCGGCGAGCGGCGAACGGGUGAGUAAUACAUCGGAACGUGUCCUUAAGUGGGGGAUAGCUCGGCGAAAGCCGGAUUAAUACCGCAUAAGCUCUGAGGAGGAAAGCGGGGGCUCCGUAAGGACCUCGCGCUGUUGGAGCGGCCGAUGUCGGAUUAGCUAGGUUGGUGGGGAAAGGCCCACCAAGGCGACGAUCCGUAGCUGGUCUGAGAGGAUGAUCAGCCACACUGGAACUGAGACACGGUCCAGACUCCUACGGGAGGCAGCAGUGGGAAUUUGGACAAUGGGGGCAACCCUGAUCCAGCCAUUCCGCGUGAGUGAAGAAGGCCU